GGUUCAAGUGCUGAUGAGAAACAGCAACAACAUGACAGGAGUUACCUUCCUGUGAUUCGUAGUUUAAAGUUUGAUGAUU
rfam:Triticum aestivum genome assembly, contig: Triticum_aestivum_CS42_TGACv1_scaffold_404140_5BL